UACGUAGGGGCAAGCGUUGUCCGGAUUUACUGGGCGUAAAAGGCUCGUAGGUGGCUCGUCCAGUCGAGCGUGAAAUCUCCCGGCCUUAACGUGGGAGGGUCGUUCGGAUACUAGCGGGCUGCGAGGCCGGUAGAGGGAAGCGGAAUUCCGGGGUGUAGUGGGUAGGUCGAAUGACGUAGGAUAUCCGGAGGAACACCAGUGGC
rnacentral:rRNA from 1 species